rnacentral:lncRNA from 1 species
UUUUCUAAUUAUUUGUUGUUGUUGAACAACUACUACAAGUUUAGUUCUCCCUACAAGAACUUUGGGCAAUCAGAGGAGAAGGACAUAGCAUGGAAGAAAUGUAGAGGAUGGAGAUCUAUCGAGACACCAGAGGGCGGCAGUAUCCGAGUUUUGUUCAUGAGUCCAUGGUGGCGCUGGUGAUGGGGGAAGGAGGGGCAAGGAAGAAGACCUAGUUAUAUGCCCGUGAGCUGGAUCCAGAUCUCUGAAGGUAGUGGGUUUGGUUUCUUAGCAGGGUCAGGCCCGUUUAAUUUUGGGUUGUAUAGAUGGCAAAACAUCAAAAGGGGUUUCAGCGCUGGAUCAGUGAUGUUUUUUUCCUUUUGGGCUGAUUCGACUGACGCUUAGUUCAGGUCAGUCAAUUUUCUUUUGCUUUCCAUCAUUCUGCUCUUCUUUAGGAAUCGACUGACACAAUUGUAGAGUCAGUCGAUUGACUUGUAGCCGCUCCCAUCCAACAUAUAUACUUCACGGCCAAAAAGAAGGCAUGCAGUUAAACUUGAUAUGAAAGUCUUCUUUUCGUUUAAGGUGAAGUAAGACAAAGUUCAUGGGCUUGUAUUACCCUUAUCGGGAUUGUUAAAUCUCAAUCGACUGAGACUAACUAUACCCAUGAGAUCUUGUGGAGAUCCGUGUAAACAAAUUUUAAUUCUUUUUCUUUCUUCUCUAUUAUGUGUUCUGUCACUUGAUUGAGACUUUGUUAAGUCUCAAUCGACUAAGAUCUAGCCACACUCUAUCUUUAUAUCGUAACAAAUUAGUAGUUGAUGGUGAUGGGAUCCGGCACGUGCCCCCUUUCCCUUUGUGAUGUGAUUGCAUGUGAAUGUCAAAAAGGAAUGGAUAUAGUUUUUUCUCGCUUUUGGCAUAGCACGCCGUACUUUGGGAGGCCCACACGACAGACUAUUAGCUGAGUGGUAGAGCGCACCCUUGAUAACCGCGUCAUUGUGCCUGGGUUGUGAGGGAUCUCAGUCAUAUCGAUAGUUCAAUGUGCUCAAAAGUGCCUGGGUUUUUUCUCGCACAUUGGAAUGACAUACUCUUCCAGUUUGAACCAGAGUUGGCAUCUCCAAGGGUGUGGGCCAAAUUCAGUACCUAAUUGUCCACGUCAUACUCUGCUUGUCUGGCGCCCCCUACUUCUCCCUUGCUUGCAUGAUCCUUUUUUUUCAAACAAAAUUUUUCGCUUCAACAUUGAUUUUCCAUAUAAGUAAUUUAAAGAUAAGUAUUAGGAUGCAAAAAUAAUUCAAAGAUUAAUAUCACAAUUCAAACAUAAUUUCCAAACUAUAUAGUUCAAACUUAAAUUUAAUUUAAUUCAUCCCAAUGUAGAACCCUUGAAGUUGAUGACAUGCUCCUCUUCCUUCUCAGUUUCAUCAAGCCCACUCAUCAUCACCACCGGUUCGUCGUCCGGAUCGUUUUUUUGAUGACAAAGAUUCAAUAAGUCACUAUAGAAUUAUCAUCAUCUGAAUCCAUCGUGUUUCCAUGCAAAUGAACAACAAAUUUGUCGAAAAUGACAUAUGCUAUGUUCAGUGAUUUCACCAAACACUUGGUGUCCAAGGUGUUCGGCAUAGACAUCAUUGGUUAAGGGGCGCACCUAAGAAGAGAGGAGGGGGAGUUGGGAGACAGAUUCCUCGUUCAAAGGGAUUGCGAUGGUGGAGGCGAGGUGGGAUGCCUCCGGAUGGACAAUGCUGGUGAUGUGAACUGACGGUGGCCAUGAGAUCGAGGGGACGGAGGUGGGGCGACUAGGGAUUGACUCAACAUGGUGGAGUGGAUGGAAGGGCAAGCAUAGUGACGAGGUGGAGAGGCGGGAGGACCGUAAUAGCCCGGACAACAAUCAUGGGAGCGGUGCCAGGGUAGUAGGGUGUGGGGGAGGAGGAUGUGAGUGGGGAGGAAGGGGUUCGAUUGGGUUCUGGGUAGUGCCGGAUCCAGGAAUUAAAUGAAUGGUGUGCACACUCCAAAAAAAAUUAUCUAAUCGAAGUGGCAUACAAUAUGUGGCAAAAGAAUUGAAAUAUUAGCUAAAUUCAAGUCUCGCAACAUUCUAGUUUAGGAUAUUCCAAAUGUGCUCAACUACAAUACGAAUAUGUUUACAUGAAAGAUACAAAAGAAGAAAAUUACAAUACUAGGAAGACUACGCUUCUGCAUUGCCAUGAAAGCCUCACCUAUGUUAUCUUCACUUACUUCAAAGAACACAUCCGUUCAACAAAUGUCACUAAGCAAUCAUUCAAGAGAUCAUCACUCAUACUAUUUCCCAAUUUACUUUCCACUAGAUUUAUUGCAAAAGAUGCGACAUCAGUGCCAACUUUGAUAAGUGUACCAAGUCGUAAAGAUCAUGAUUAUUUGUUUCAACAAGCAUAAUAGAGAGCUCACUAAUAAUAGUUACAUCUCUAAACAUAUCAUCUCUUGUUUCACAUUGUCACCAAUAAUACUUGUUUCAACAAGCAUAAUAGAGAGCUCACCAAUAAUACAGAGCAUAGAAGUUUCACAUUGUCACCAAUAAUACUUGUUUCAACAAGCAUAAUAGAGAGCUCACCAAUAAUAGAUAGCAUAGAAGUUUCACAUUGUCACCAAUAAUACUUGUUUCAACAAGCAUAAUAGAGAGCUCACCAAUAAUACAGAUCCUUACCAAAUCCGUGCUUGAUAUGUCCAGGGGUAGAAUUCGGCAAGUCUCGUUACCUCGAAUGCAUAAUAAGAAGCAAACUAAUUGAGGGGAUUCAAAGCUGAUAUGGAAAUAAGUAAUGCCAUAUUAACCUCAUCAAACCAAUUGUCAAGCUCGUGAAUGAUUUGAUCAAUCAUACCAAGAUAUAUGAUACGUCUCCAACGUAUCUAUAAUUUUUGAUUGCUCCAUGCUAUAUUAUAUUUUGUUUUGAACAUUAUUGGGCUUUAUUAUCCACUUUUAUAUUAUUUUUGGGACUAACCUAUUAACCCAGAGCCCAGUGCCAGUUCCUGUUUUUUCCCUUGUUUCAGUGUUUCGAAGAAAAGGAAUAUCAAACGGAGUCGAAACGGAAUGAAACCUUCUGGAGAAGUUAUUUUUGGAAGGAAAGCAACCUGAUAGACUUGGAGUGCACGUCGGGAAAGAAACGAGGGAGCCACGAGGUAGGGGGCGCGCCCUCCACCCUCGUGGGCCCCUCGUGGCUCCCCUGACGUACUUCUUCCUCCUAUAUAUACCCAUAUACCCUAAAACGAUCGGUGUUGGAAAUAUGUCCUAGAGGCAAUAAUAAAUUGGUUAUGAUUAUAUUUCCUUGUUCAUGAUAAUCGUUUAUUAUCCAUGCUAGAAUUGUAUUGAUAGGAAACUCAGAUACAUGUGUGGAUACAUAGACAACACCAUGUCCCUAGUAAGCCUCUAGUUGACUAGCUCGUUGAUCAAUAGCUGGUUACGGUUUCCUGACCAUGGACAUUGGAUGUCGUUGACAACGGGAUCACAUCAUUAGGAGAAUGAUGUGAUGGACAAGACCCAAUCCUAAGCCUAGCACAAGAUCGUGUAGUUCAUAUGCUAAAGCUUUUCUAAUGUCAAGUAUCAUUUCCUUAGACCAUGAGAUUGUGCAACUCCCGGAUACCAUAGGAGUGCUUUGGGUGUGCCAAACAUCACAACGUAACUGGGUGGCUAUAAGGUACACUACGGGUAUCUCCGAAAGUGUCUGCUGGGUUGGCACGAAUUGAGACUGGGAUUUGUCACUCCGUGUAACGGAGAGGUAUCUCUGGGCCCACUCGGUAGGACAUCAUCAUAAUGUGCACAAUGUGACCAAGGAGUUGAUCACGGGAUGAUGUGUUACGGAACGAGUAAAGAGACUUGCUGGUAACGAGAUUGAACAAGGUACCGGGAUACCGAUGAUCGAAUCUCGGGCAAGUAUCAUACCGAUAGACAAAGGGAAUUGUAUACGGGAUUGAUUGAAUCCUUGACAUCGUGGUUCAUCCGAUGAGAUCAUCGUGGAGCAUCUGGGAACCAACAUGGGUAUCCAGAUCCCGAUGUUGGUUAUUGACGGAGAGUUGUCUCGGCCAUGUCUGCAUGACUCCCGAACCCGUAGGGUCUACACACUUAAGGUCCGAUGAUGCUAGGGUUAUAGGGAAAGUAUGUACGCAGUUACCGAAUGUUGUUCGGAGUCCUGGAUGAGAUCCCGGACAUCACGAGGAGUUCCGGAGGUAAAGAUUGAUAUAUAGGAAGUAUGGUUUUGGCCACCGGAAGUGUUCCGGGCAUCACCGGUAGUGUACCGGGACCACCGGAGGGGUCCGGGGGUCCACCAGGUGGGGCCACCAGCCCCGGAGGCCUACAUGGGCCAAUAGUGGGAAGGGACCAGCCCCUAGGUGGGCUGGGGCGCCUCCCACCAAGGCCCAAGGCGCCUCCAAGAGGGGAGGGGGCAAACCCUAGGGCAGAUGGGCCCUAAGGCCCACCCCAGGUGUGCCUCCCCCUCUCCCUCUUGUGGCCGCCACCCUAGAUGGGAUCUAGGGCUGCCGCACCCCUUGGGGUGGGAACCCUAGGUGGGGGCGCAGCCCUUCCUCUCCCCCUAUAUAUAGUGGAGGCAAAGGGGCAGCCCUACAUACGAAGUUCUUCCUCUGUUGGCGCAGCCCUACCCCUCUCCCUCCUCGUCUCUCGUAGUGCUUGGCGAAGCCCUGCUGGAGUUCUGCGCUCCUCCACGACCACCACGCCGUCGUGCUGCUGCUGGACGGAGUCUUCCCCAACCUCUCCUUCUCCCCUUGCUGGAUCAGGGCGUAGGAGACGUCACCGGGCUGCACGUGUGUUGAACACGGAGGCGCCGUUGUUCGGUGCUUAGAUCGGAAUCAACCAUGAUCUGAAUCGCUGCGAGUAUGACUCCUUCAUCUGCGUUCUUGCAACGCUUCCGCUUAGCGAUCUACAAGGGUAUGUAGAUGCACUCCCCUUCCCCUCGUUGCUAGAUUACUCCAUAGAUUGAUCUUGGUGAUGCGUAGAAAAUUUUAAAUUUCUGCUAUGAUCCUCAACAAUCGGGGAACAAAAUAGAUCGGGAGUUCAGCCGCCAGAAGCCUCCAUAGCCAUCGAAAACCAAUCUAGACCCGUUCCGGCACCCUGCCGGAGGGGGAAAUCCCUCACCGGUGGCCAUCUUCAUCAUCCCGGCGCUCUCCAUGACGAGGAGGGAGUAGUUCACCCUCGGGGCUGAGGGUAUGUACCAGUAGCUAUGUGUUUGAUCUCUCUCUCUCUCUCUCUCUCUCUCUCUCUCUCGUGUUCUUGAGGUGGUACGAUCUUGAUGUAUCGCGAGCUUUGCUAUUAUAGUUGGAUCUGAUGAUGUUUCUCCCCCUCUACUCUCUUGUAAUGGAUUGAGUUUUCCCUUUGAAGUUAUCUUAUCGGACUGAGUCUUUAAGGAUUUGAGAACACUUGAUGUAUGUCUUGCUUGGGAUACCCGUGGUGACAAUGGGGUAUUCUAUUGAUCCACUUGAUGUAUGUUUUGGUGAUCAACUUGCGGGUUCCGCCCAUGAACCUAUGCAUAGGGGUUGGCACACGUUUUUGUCUUGACUCUCUGGUAGAAACUUUGGGGCACUCUUUGAAGUACUUUGUGUUGGUUGAAUAGAUGAAUCUGAGAUUGUAUGAUGCAUAUCAUAUAAUCAUACCCACGGAUACUUGAGGUGACAUUGGAGUAUCUAGGUGACAUUAGGGUUUUGGUUGAUUUGUGUCUUAAGGUGUUAUUCUAGUACGAACUCUAGGGCUGUUUGUGACACUUAUAGGAAUAGCCCAACGGAUUGAUUUGAAAGAAUAACUUUGAAGUGGUUUCGUACCCUACCAUAAUCUCUUCGUUUGUUCUCCGCUAUUAGUGACUUGGAGUGACUAUUUGUUGCAUGUUGAGGGAUAGUUAUAGGAUGCAAUUAUGUUAAUAUUGUUGAGAGGACUUGCACUAGUGAAAGUAUGAACCCUAGGCCUUGUUUCAACACAUUGCAAUACCGUUUACGCUCACUUUUAUCAUUCGUUACCUUGCUGUUUUUAUAUUUUUCAGAUUACAAAAACUAUUAUCUACCAUCCAUAUACCACUUGUAUCACCAUCUCUUCGCCGAACUAGUGCACCUAUACAAUUUACCAUUGUAUUGGGUGUGUUGGGGACACAAGAGACUCUUUGUUAUUUGGUUGCAGGGUUGCUUGAGAGAGACCAUCUUCAUCCUACGCCUCCUACGGAUUGAUAAACCUUAGGUCAUCCACUUGAGGGAAAUUUGCUACUGUCCUACAAACCUCUUGUAACGCCCUCGAUGCGGCUAUAUCUCCCACGUGUCGAAGCACGACUUAGAGGCAUAACCGCAUUGAAAGCAAUGUCGCAAGUGAGGUAAUCUUCACACAACCCAUGUAAUACAUAAGAGAAAGAGAUACAUAGUUGGCUUACACUCGCCACUUCACACAAUUACAGGAAUAAAGCAUUACAUCAACCAGAUACAAUCAAGGUCCGACUACGGAACCAAAAUAAAAGAAGAACCCCAAAUGCGACAAGGUCCCGAUCGCCCCAACUGGGCACCAGUACUGAUCAACUGGAAACGGAUCAACACAAAGGCCUAGAUCUGUAUCGAGCUCCUCCUUGAGCUUGGUUGCGUCAUCUGCACGGUCUCAUCGGCACCUGCAAGCUGGUUUUGGAAGUAUCUGUGAGCCACGGGGACUCAGCAAUCUCACACCCUCACGAUCAAGACUAUUUAAGCUUAUGGGUAAGGUAAAGGGUAUGAGCUGGAGCUGUAGCAAGCGACUAGCAUAUAUGGUGGCUAACAUACGCAAAUGAGAGCGAGAAGAGAAGGUAAAAGCACGGUCGAACAACUAUGAUCAAGAAGUGAUCCUAGAACAACCUACGUCAAGCAUUACUCCAACAUCGUGUUCACUUCCCGGACUCCGCCGGAAAGAGACCAUCACGGUUACGCACGCGGUUGAUGCAUUUUAAUUAAGGUCAACUUCAGGUUUUCUACAACCGGACGUUAACAAAUUCCCAUCUGCCCAUAACCGCGGGCUCGGCUUUCGAAAGUUCAAAUCCCUGCAGGGGUGUCCCAACUUAGCCCAUCACAAGCUCUCACGGUCAACGAAGGAUAUUCCUUCUAGCGGGAAGACCCGAUCAGACUCGAAAUCCCGGUUACAAGACAUUUCGACAAUGGUAAAACAAGACCAGCAACACCGCCCGAAUGUGCCGACAAAUCCCGAUAGGAGCUACACAUAUCUCAUUCUCAGGGCAGACUCAGAUGAGCACUACGUACAACUAAAAACCAGCCCUCGAGUUUCCCCGAGGUGGCGCUGCAAGUGGCUCUGUUUGGACCAACACUCAGAGGAGCACUGGCCCGGUGGGGUUUAAAUAAAGAUGACCCUCAGGAGCGCGACUCCCAAGGGAAAAAGAGGCUAGGUGGCAAAUGGUAAAACCAAUGUUGGGCAUUGCUGGAGGAGUUUUAUUCAAGGCGAACUGUCAAGGGGUUCCCAUUAUUACCCAACCGCGUAAGGAACGUAAAAUCUGGGAACAUAACACCGAUAUGACGGAAACUAGGGCGGCAGAGUGGAACAAAACACCAGGCAUAAGGCCGAGCCUUCCACCCUUUACCAAGUAUAUAGAUGCAUUAAUUAAAUAAGAUAUAUUGUGAUAUCCCAACAAGUAAACAUGUUCCAACAAGGAACAACUUCUCCAUGUUCCAACAAGGAACAAACUUCAAUCUCCACCUGCAACUAACAUAGCUAUAAGAGGGGCUGAGCAAAGCGGUAACAUAGCCAAACAACGGUUUGCUAGGACAAGGUGGGUUAGAGGCUUGGUUCAACAAUAUGGGUGGCAUGAUUAGCAAGUGGUAGGUAUCGCAGCAUAGGCAUAGCAAAAGAGCGAGCAACUAAGCAAGCAAAGAUAGAAGUGAUUUCAAGGGUAUGGUCAUCUUGCCUGAAAUCUCGCAAGGAAGAAGAACGAGUCCAUGAAGAAGAUAAACGGACGUAGUCGAAUGGAUCCUCACACACACGACGUUAUCGGAACCAACCCGAAGAAGCAACACCGGAAAGAAGCAAACAACAUAGUAAACAACCACCACAUAAACAUGGCAGGAUGCACAACCAAGUAUGAUGCAUGUCCGGUUUAAAUGUUCAUGGCACGACAAAGUGCACAAGCAAUUCUACAUAUUAAGUGGAGCUCAAUAUGCACGAGUUGCAUAUUGACGAAACACCACAUCAAUUAUUUAGUUCUCUCUUGGUUAGGUACUCAACAAUAUUAAAUGUUGUUUAAACAUGGCAAGAGGUGAUACAUAAUAAAACUACCUAACUAGGCAAGUUUAAAUGAGGCCGGAACAACAAAACAACAAGUCCGGAAACUCCUCAUAUGCAUAAAUUAGAUUUGGUACUGUUCUGCCCUAAACAAUAUUUUAGAGUUGUUAAACAUGCAAAGUAAAGCCACCAUGUUAAACUAGGCAAAAUUCUACCCCAUUUACAUAUAAGGUUUAUUAAAAUCCGAGCUACGGUUAUUUAGUUAUGAAUUAAAGCAUUUUAGCAAGUUAUUUAAGCAAAUUUAAACAAACAGCAUUUUAAACAUGUUAAACAUGGACGAAAGUUGGAUAUUAUUAAACUAGAUGAAAUUCUAAGCAAGUUAUAUAUAUAGUUCAUUUUAAUCCGAUGCACCAAUUGUGAGUUAUUAUAUGCAUGUAGUCUAGGGAGUUUUCCACAAAACCGAAGUCUCUGGAAUAAAGGCAAAAACGCAGACCUGAAAAAAAAACAGGAACUGGGCCGAAUCUGGCCGGCCCAACAAGAGAAAAAAAUCAAGAGGAGGGGGCGCUCGGGGGCUGC